GUCCUAGAAGGGAGAGCCCAGCCUGCCUGCCUGCCUUCUCAGAAUUUAGAAGAAUACAGAAAGGCUGCACAGGACACUAACAAGAUGAAAGGGGAGGAAAAACUGAGUAGAGUGAAGGAAGAAAGGCCAACCUGCACUGAAAAACCACUGACUGAUCUGCAAGAUAUGUAGCAGAAGCUGCAAGGUGAGGGCCCAUCAGGCUUCCAGUGAGUUUUCAGAUCACUCACCUUGCAAUGAGGGGUGUGACCUGAAUGAACAGUAAACAAUUGGGGAUGGAUGAAAAAGA